GCUUUUCUACUCAGAAGGUUAAAGAGGGACCCUGCCAAGCUACGGAGAGGGAGUCAGGAGAGUCACUCAUUAGCAGAGGGACUUAGGCAUCUAUGGCUGCCAUAUCAGUGGUGACCUUGAAGCACUGAUAAACACCAACUGCGGAAGGGGAGAAACACGGUGAUGAGGCAAGAAUAACCCUGAACUUCUGAUCCUCCUGCCUGCUCCUCAUCCCAUCUGCUGUCACCCAGCCAAUGUCAGCUAGCACUGUGCGCAGUCGAAGAAGAUGAGAACUGGUUACCCUUAGUACAGUGUAUAAGGCCAAACAACAGAAUGUCUAAAGUAUGAAUGAAAAACAAGUUUGCUUCACAGCUUCCAGAGCUUGAAUUUCCUCACCAGCUGGAGCCACUUCACCAAGAAAUAUGAACAUUUUCACAGAACCACACUACUAUAUGAACUCUAUUGUCACAGUUUUAUUAACAACUAUAUCAAAUAUAUUUUCUGACCUAUAA